UUAUCUCUGUAGAGUCUGCAUAUCAAUAAGCGGAGGAAAAGAAACUAACUAGGAUUCCCUCAGUAACGGCGAGUGAAGCGGGAAGAGCUCAAAUUUGAAAUCUUCAAGGUUUUACCUUGACGAAUUGUAGUUUAGAGAAGUGUUUUCUGUUGGAGUUUUGGUAAAAGUUCUUUGGAAUAGGACAUCAUAGAGGGUGAGAAUCCCGUAUUUGACCAUUAUUUCCAGCUUUGUGAUACACUUUCAAAGAGUCGGAUUGUUUGGGAAUGCAGUCCAAAAUGGGUGGUAAAUUUCAUCUAAAGCUAAAUACUGGCGAGAGACCGAUAGCGAACAAGUACCGUGAAGGAAAGAUGAAAAGAACUUUGAAAAGAGAGUUAAACAGUACGUGAAAUUGUCAAAAGGGAAGCGUUUGACACCAGUGUUGUUUCUCUCGAAAAUCAAUUAAAAAAUGGCAGGGAUUUUGUGUUGUAUUGACUUUAUCAGCUUUCUGCACUCUUUUUCUUGUCUUUUUUAAUGCACUUUUCGUUUAACAAGUCAACAUCAAUUUCUUUUGUUGUAAAAGGGUCAUUGGAAGGUGGCUUUCUUUUCGGAGAAAGUGUUUAUAGCCUUUGGCCUCUGCAAUCGGAGAGAUUGAGGUCUGCAGCGUAGAUCCUUCGGGGUUAGAUACAUUUGUGCUAAGUUAUAGCCUUUCAUAGACAACUUGUUGACUAUGAAUCAGUCAUGUAGCUUACUCGCUUAUGCUAUUUUACCUACGCUUAGGAUGUUGAGUCAUCACACAUCUCU
rnacentral:rRNA from 1 species